AGCUUUGCGCAGUGGCAGUAUCGUAGCCAAUGAGGUUUAUCCGAGGCGCGAUUAUUGCUAAUAGAAGACUGAAUCUUUACUCCCAGUGAGGCCACCUGUUUUCUCAGACACAAUCCUAGAUAUUCUGAUAUUCAUUAAUGU
ensembl:snRNA U4 U4 spliceosomal RNA